UACGUAGGGCGCAAGCGUUGUCCGGAAUUAUUGGGCGUAAAGAGCUCGUAGGCGGCUUGUCACGUCGAUUGUGAAAGCCCGAGGCUUAACCUCGGGUCUGCAGUCGAUACGGGCUAGCUAGAGUGUGGUAGGGGAGAUCGGAAUUCCUGGUGUAGCGGUGAAAUGCGUAGAUAUCUGGAGGAACACCGGUGGCGAAGGCGGCAUCCUGGACCGGCAUUGACGCUGAGGCGCGAAAGCUAGGGGAGCAAACGGG
rnacentral:rRNA from 1 species